AGAGCGAACGCUGGCGGCAGGCUUAACACAUGCAAGUCGAGCGGGCGUAGCAAUACGUCAGCGGCAGACGGGUGAGUAACGCGUGGGAACGUACCUUUUGGUUCGGAAACAACCCAGGGAAACUUGGGCUAAUACCGGAUAAGCCCUUACGGGGAAAGAUUUAUCGCCGAAAGAUCGGCCCGCGUCUGAUUAGCUAGUUGGUGAGGUAAUGGCUCACCAAGGCGACGAUCAGUAGCUGGUCUGAGAGGAUGAUCAGCCACAUUGGGACUGAGACACGGCCCAAACUCCUACGGGAGGCAGCAGUGGGGAAUAUUGGACAAUGGGCGCAAGCCUGAUCCAGCCAUGCCGCGUGAGUGAUGAAGGCCCUAGGGUUGUAAAGCUCUUUUGUGCGGGAAGAUAAUGACGGUACCGCAAGAAUAAGCCCCGGCUAACUUCGUGCCAGCAGCCGC
rnacentral:rRNA from 1 species